AACGCACACGUUAGAUCACCUCACCACAUUCCUGCAAGGAUGAAGACAUCCUGUGAAUACUCCAAUCCUCAAACCAAACGUUCAUUCACAUUUUUACAGACAUAUAAAGUAUCUGAAGUCCCACUCACCUUCCUGCAAGUGAACACAACACAUGGUAUCACCGGGGCAUGUGAAGAGAAAGAAGAAGAGCAUCCAUGAUUGUGUGAGAUCCAGAGCCGGUGGGAGGCCCGUCAUUGGCCAGCCAGCCGAGGGGGGUAAAACUGACAAGCUAGGAGCCAGUCAGAUGUGUGUUGAAGACCACGGGAGGGAAGAUGUGCUGAAGACGCGGUGGAUCCAAUCUCUCUGUUCACGGACACUCUGAAACUGCAUAACCACAUGAAAACCGUUGGAACGUCCACACACUCCGCACACACACACACACACACACACACCUACACACACACACACACACACACACACAAUAAAGCGAUGCUUUCCAGAUGACAUGCCACUUAUGCAACAAAUCCAUAAUAUCUCAUCCUGCAACUUAUUGACUAAUAUGAGUUUUCCAUUUGCACAAUAUGAAAGUAUAUGAGCUGCUUCAGAAGUUAAUAUCAUGCACAUUUCACACGUAGAACGUGCAAACGUGUGCAUGUUCACAGGUUUACGUGUGAGUGCGUCUCUUGCUGCGUGUACGUGGGUGACUGCGUCAGGUUCAUUUUUGCCGCGGUGACUUUCUCGAGUCUUAAUAUUGUUUCCGUGUACGUUUCCGAGUAUGAACAUUGGACAGAGUUGACAUGCAUAAAACACGCACACGGGUCUCGUUCAUUGACAGCGGAUGGGAGUUAGGAGAGCGGGAGCUCGGAGGAGUCGUACGGACAUUUUGAGCGGUGUAGGAGUGUGUUGGAGAGGUCUUUGCAUAUUUCGGGAUCUAUGAAAAGAUGAAGCGGAUACCCUGAGAGACUCAAAGCGAGGGAAAGUGAGAAGGGGAUAAAGACAUUGAGAGAUGGGUGAUGACAGCUAAUCAGAUAGGCGUGAAAGACGGAGUCAAGGUGAAUGUUCCUCCACUAAUUCUCCACUUUCACUAUAAGGUUAUUUCACUUUUUUAUAGUCAUGUGACACAGAGAGAACUGUGGCAAAUUGAAU